rnacentral:snRNA from 1 species
CAGUAUCGUAGCCAAUGAGGUUUAUCUGAGGCACAAUUAUUGCUAAUUGAAAACUAAAAAAAAAAAAAAAAAAAAAAAAGAAUGGCCACUCUUUUUUUUUUGUUUGUUUUGUUUUUGAGACGGAGUUUCGCUCU